rnacentral:rRNA from 1 species
UACGUAGGGGGCAAGCGUUGUCCGGAUUUAUUGGGCGUAAAGAGCGUGUAGGCGGCCAGAUAGGUCCGUUGUGAAAACUGGAGGCUCAACCUCGAGAGGUCGGUGGAAACCGUAUGGCUAGAGUCCGGAAGAGGAGAGUGGAAUUCCUGGUGUAGCGGUGAAAUGCGGCAGAUAUCAGGAAGAACACCCGUGGCUAAGGCGGCUCUCUAGUACGGUACUGACGCUGAGACGCGAAAGCGUGGGGAGCGAACAGG